ensembl:snRNA U6 U6 spliceosomal RNA
GUACUCAUUUCAGCAACACGUAUACUAAAACUGGAAUGAUACAGAGAAGAUUAGCAUGACCCCUGUGCAGUGCAAGAAACAGAACUUUUUAUU